UCUGGGGGCCGCGCAGGCCCUGGUGAGACGAUGUCUGUCCUGCAUCUGCGUGUCCAUUCCCCCCCCCCUCUGCCUCCAGCCCCGUUUAUCCAUGUCCUGCUGUUCCAGCCCCGUGCGCCCCCGCAUCCCUCCCCCAGUGCCCCUGUAUCUCUCCAUCGCCCCUUUAUCUAGCCAUCACUUCUUUAUCCAUCACGCCUUCAUCCCUCUGUCGUCCCUUUAUCCAUCACACCUAUAUCCCUCCAUCUCCCCUAUAUCCCUCCAUUGCUCCUUUAUCCCUCUGUCACCCCUAUAUCCCUCCAUCUCCCCUUCAUUCCUCCAUCACCCCUAUAUCCUUCCAUCACCCCAGAUCCAUCCAUUGCCCCUUUAGCCAUGACUCCUUUAUCCAUCACUCCUUCAUCCCGCCAUCAUCCCUUUAUCCAUCACACCUAUAUCCCUCCACCUCCCCUUUAUCCCUGUGUUGCCCCUUUAUUCCUCCAUUGCUCCCUUAUCCCUUCAUCGCCCCUUCAUUCCUUCAUCACCCCUAUAUCCCUCCAUCACUGCUUUAUCCCUCCAUCACCCCUUCAUUCCUCUGUCACUCCUAUAUCCUUCCAUCACCCCUAUAUCCCUCCAUCGCCCCAUAUCCCUCUGUCCCCCUAUAUCCCUCGUUGUCCCUUUAUCCCUCCAUUGCCCCUUUAUCCCUCUGGCAUCCCUCCAUCAUCCCGUCAUCCCUCUGUCACUCCUAUAUCCUUCCAUCACCCCUAUAUCCCUCUGCUGCCCCUUUAUCCCUCCAUCACCCCUCCAUCCCUCCUUUAACCCUCCAUCAUCCCUCCAUCCUUCCAUCACCCCUCCAUUCCUCCAUCAUCCCUCUGUCCCUCCGGCACCCAUUCAUCUCUCCGUCGCCCCUUUAUCCCUUCAUCACUCCUUUAUCCCUCCAUCAUCCCUUCAUUCCUCUGUCACCCCUCCAUCCCUCUGUCCCUCCAUCACCCCUCCAUUCCUCCAUCGCCCCUUUAUCCAUCCAUCAUCCCUCCGUCCCUGCAUCCCGCCGUGGCUCGCGGCCGGUGCCGGUGCCAGCGCAGCCCGCGCCCCCUGCCCGGCCACCCCGCCGUCCCGCCGCUGCCUCCUUCGUUCUCCCUUUCCCCUUCUGCCUCUCCUCCCCUCCCCCUUCCCUCUCUUCCUUUGUCUCUCUCUCUCUCUCUCUCUUCGUUCUCAAGUGUUUUCAAUUUUAUUCUGAGUGGAAUUAACUACCCCUGAUGUCAAAUUGCCGCCGCAAUCGAUAAUAAUAUCUUUACAAAAGAGGAUAUUCUUCUCUCUGCGAACGGCCCCUGAAAAAUGGAAAAUUUAGUCGAAAUUGAUUCAUUACUUGACACUUUAUAGGACGGGCCUGCUAUUGAUCGGGGCCUGUCAUGUCCUAUCUGCCUUAAUCGAACCUGAGGCGCGCUGUCNNNNNNNNNNNNNNNNNNNNNNNNNNNNNNNNNNNNNNNNNNN
rnacentral:lncRNA from 1 species